GACGAACGCUGGCGGCGUGCUUAACACAUGCAAGUCGAGCGGUAAGGCCCUUUCGGGGGUACGACGAGCGGCGAACGGGUGAGUAACACGUGGGUGACCUGCCCUUACGCUCUGGGAGUAAGCCUGGGAAACUGGGUCGUAAUACCGGAUAUGACUCCAUGACGCAUGUUGUGGGGUGGAAAGCCUUGUGCGGCUAGGGA
rnacentral:rRNA from 1 species